rnacentral:rRNA from 1 species
UACGGAGGGAGCUAGCGUUGUUCGGAAUUACUGGGCGUAAAGCGCACGUAGGCGGCUUUUUAAGUCAGGGGUGAAAUCCCGGGGCUCAACCCCGGAACUGCCCUUGAAACUGGAGAGCUAGAAUCUUGGAGAGGCGAGUGGAAUUCCGAGUGUAGAGGUGAAAUUCGUAGAUAUUCGGAAGAACACCAGUGGCGAAGGCGACUCGCUGGACAAGUAUUGACGCUGAGGUGCGAAAGCGUGGGGAGCAAACA